UACAGAGGGAGCAAGCGUUGUUCGGAAUUGCUGGGCGUAAAGCGUGCGUAGACGGUUACAUAAGUCGGGUGUGAAAGCCCCGGGCUCAACCUGGGAAUUGCAUUCGAGACUGCGUAGCUAGGGUGCGGAAGAGGGAAGCGGAAUUUCCGGUGUAGCGGUGAAAUGCGUAGAUAUCGGAAGGAACACCAGUGGCGAAAGCGGCUUCCUGGUCCAGCACCGACGUCAGGCACGAAAGCGUGGGGAGC
rnacentral:rRNA from 1 species